GAAAGAAAACACUAUCUGCCCGGAAGAAGAGUAAUUGCAAGAUCCCAUUCACCAUGGCACGUCCAAGGAACAACACACACAAUUUGUUCUUGGUCGUAGCUAUUCUGGUCAUGUCUACCAUCUUUCUGCACUGUAAUGCAGAAGACCCACCCAGCUGGUGCCAGCCGGAGGGUGUUUGCCAGAACCCGGUUACGCCGGAAAACACGCAAACGUGUAAAAACAUCUGCAAAACUUUUGGCUACAACCCCGAACAAGCCUACUGUGAUCCCGGCCCCACUCCAAGGUGCUGCUGCUUGUAUUAAGCCCAAGAAAUAAUAAAGCCACUUGAGUGGCAGAUGAUGAAUGACAAAACUAGCAAAUUCAUUUUUAUGUGUCCAUCUCGUCUCAUGUAAAAAGAUUGGAACAGAUCAUGGUCCAGCCCUAUCCGUCAAUAAAGUUGAGAAGUUUCUUA